ACCACAGUACAGAGAUUCUGUGGCAUUCAGGGUUGAGCACAGCGUGGAGGGGUUCCACAAGCCAUGGUACAGAGGAUUCUCCCAGGCCCUGCUGCAGCCUGCCAGCUCAAGAGUACAGCCACAGGCUUAAGAACACAGCUCCAUGCUACUGAAUACUGAUCUGAGAAUUGAGAAGCUCCACAGUCCACUUUGGGACCUCUCCACUCUUCAUAUGUCAUUGAUGACCUUCAGUAGUGAAUCAGUGGUAAACAAAGAUGAGCAUCUCUAAACAUGCAAAAUGAGGAAGACAUGUCGUUAUCAUCUAUGGUAUUUUGAACAUAUCAACCCCAGCAUCUGUAAAAUUUGUAUCUGUCUUUAUGAGUAAUAUGGUUUCUCCAUUGGAAUGAUGUCUGCUGUAUCUUUUUGAUUCUUCCUUUAUUUGUGUGUGUACCCUUACCCUAAGAAUCUGAUUAAAUUUGUUCCUUUUCAACUACA